AAUGUCGUAACAAGGUUUCCGUAGGUGAACCUGCGGAAGGAUCAUUACCCUAGAGUUGUAGGGCCUUUGCCUGCUAUCUCUUACCCAAUGUCUUUUGGAGUACCUUCGUUUCCCUCGGCGGGUUUCGCCCUGCCGAUUUGGACAAUUUUCAAACCCAUUUGGCAGGUUGCAAAUCAGCGGUCUGAAAAAAAUCUAAUUAGUUACAA
rnacentral:misc_RNA from 1 species